rnacentral:rRNA from 1 species
UACGUAGGUGACCAGCGUUGUCCGGAUUUACUGGGCGUAAAGAGCGCGCAGGCGGUCGUUCAAGUCGAGUGUGAAAGCCCCCGGCUCAACUGGGGAGGGUCACUCGAUACUGAUCGACUUGAAGGCAGGAGAGGGAAGCGGAAUUCCCGGUGUAGUGGUGAAAUGCGUAGAUAUCAGGAGGAACACCCGUAGCGAAGGCGGCACUCUGGGCCGAUACUGACACUGAGGAGCGAAAGCGUGGGGAGCGAACAGG